rnacentral:lncRNA from 1 species
UGGGAUUGCUGCAUCAUCAGAGAUCCUUCUAGAAGCUGCCGAGGAGCUUGGGGAAGUUGUUGGUGUUGUCAGCAAAGAGCUUCCACAUGAACAGGGAAGGUCAUAGCGCAACCUUCAAACAGUAUUGCCCAGCAUCUCACGAAUCUAAUAGGAAUCCAGUGAAUUUGAUGCCAUGACUGCGUGCAGUUGAAGAAGACAGAGGUUAAACCCAAAAGGGUCAAGCCGUCACCUCAAAUGAGUGUUACAGAAGAGACACUCCAAAUCCUCUUCACCUAAAUUCACCUCACUCACAUCUUUCCCACGUGGUGUAAAUGGGUGAUUCCUAGAUGCACAGGCUGGAGAUGUUGCCUUGUCACAGCCCUUCAUCUUAGAAAAAGUGAGUAACAUGAAGUCCAGAGGAGUUAAAUCACCCAGUGUAAGGUUCUCAAGACAUCAGAACUCAAGCAAGAUACGAGCACUGUCUGUCUAGUGCUCCAAUUUCAAAAGAAACCUUAUAACCUUACAAGGCCUACGGUUAGGAA